UAAAAGUCGUAACAAGGUUUCCGUAGGUGAACCUGCG
rnacentral:ncRNA from 2 species